UAUGAGUGUGUGUGUGUGUGUGUGUGUGUGUGUGUGUGUGUGUGUAGGUACACUUGUGCCGUGAAGCAUGUGUAGAAUCAGAAGAUAACUUUAUAGAGUUGGUUCUCUCCUAUCUUUAAUGUGGGUGGGUUCUGGGGACUGAACCCCUAUUAUUAGGCUUACAUAGCAAGAAUUUUUUCUACUGAGCCAUCUUAGCCCUUAUUUUAAAAGAUAUUUCAAUUAUGUAGGGUUUUGUAUGGGUGCACAUGUGAGUACAGGUGACCAUGGAAGCCAGAGCUGUCAGAUCUCCCUGACACUGGAGUUACAGGCUCUUGUGAGCUGCCCAAAGUGGGUGCUAAACACUAAACUUGGCUCCACUGGAAGAGCUGCACACACUCAACCACUGGGCUAUCACUCCAGGCUUUUGCUUCUUAGACAAGGUCUCCUGUAGCCCAGGCUAUCCUCUAAUUCACUGUGUGAAUGAUGACUUUAAAUAUCUAAUCCUCCUGUUUCCACAUCCCCAGUGCUGGGUUAACAGGCGUGUACACCACACUGGGUUUAUAUAGUGCUGAGGAUUGAAUCCAUGGCCUCAUACAUGCUAGGCAAGCAUUCUACAAACUGAGCUACAUAUACCUCCAGCUAUAAUUAAAAAUGACAAUAACACAGCAACAGCAACAAUGGGUGCUGGAGAGAUGGCUCAGUGUUUACCAGGGCAUACUCUUCUUGCAGACAACCUGAGUAGGGUUCCCAGCAUCCACAUCAGUGGCUGGCAAUGGCUGGUAAUUCCAACUCCUGGGGACCUGAUGCCUUCUGGCCUCUAAGGGAAUCUGCACUUGUGUACAUAAUCACACACAGACACACAUGCAUGCAUGUAAUUUAAAACAACCCCCACCAGGGUUGGGGGAGUUAUGAGACUUAUACCAGACUGAACUUGGGAAGCAUAAUCUAUUGGGCUCUAGGCAAGAGAAGACUGCAGGCUGUCUUAGGGUGUGGUGGGAGGUGUUUCCAGCAGAGACAGGAUUAGGCAAGAAACAUCUAUAGACUGGAUGAGGGUUCACACAUCUCAUGGUAUUAACAUUUAUCUACCCACCUAUGUAUCUGUUGAGGGUUGGAGAAGCACCAUGAAAGCAGUUAAGACAGUGAAUGUCAAGCCAUCUCUGAAGGUUUUUUUUUUUUUUUUGCAAAGAUGUAGGUUAUCAAAAAAAUCCAAUGGCCUGGAUGGCUCCUUCCUGUAUAACUAUACUAAAUAUAAACUGGCAGCAUCAGGAAACUGAAGUACACUUUCUUUUCCUGACGCCAAACUACCAUCAUAAAUAUUUGUUAAGGAAUAUUCUUAAAUUAUUCCAGUAUUCUAUAGUUUCACACAUACUAGGGGGAAAAAAAGAGAUACACCACCUUCAAGUUGCUAUGGUGGCCUGCUCAACUGAUUCUGUAAUAUUUUAGUAGAGAACCACGUUCUUAGUUCCUUCCAGAGUGUUCCAGAGGAGCACCUGUAAAUGUGAUUUACUGCAAAUGUUCUCAAUACACUAACUUUAGGCAAUAGGGGGCCCUCUCUUGAGAAACAUUUAUAAACAGCAAGAUCUGGUGGGGAAGAAACAAGGAAAAGAAAGACCACAGCUCAUGAUCCCUGGCUCUAGGAUCUGCGUGUGUGCUCAGUAAGUUCUGAAUGUUCCUAGUGGAACUCUUUGUUAGGCUGGGGAGAUCUGAGAGUGACUGUGGCUUCUCUCACAGGAACAGCUUGGCCCAGAACAGCAGAUAGAGCAACUGUGCACUUGGGCUCAGCAGGAGGCUGCAGCUGGACUUUCUUAUCAGAAAGCUGUGAAAAAGCCCCUUGAAUCUGGAGGCUUGGGACAAGAAAGACAGUGAGCAGGAGCCUUCAGUCUGAAUAUGAAGAGAAUCUGUCAUGGCUUCUGUCUGCUAACAUACAACAGCUGCUGUGGACCUCUGUGCACAACAGGCACACACCAUUCACCUUUCCCUCAUCUUAAGAACCUCAAGUGAAGGACAAGCCCUCCUGCCCUCAGAUGUCAUCUCUGCUCACCUGGAUGCCUAGACUACAUAUUAAAUGGGGCCAUAUUCUUAUUUUAUAUAGAAGAAACGGAGGCCCAGGAAGAUCUGUUCUUGGCCAGUCUCAGGAGAAAGCAGCUUUCUGUCAUCUGCUAGCCUGGAGUGUUUGGAUAAAUUACUCAGUGUUUCAGAGGAUUGUACUUGUCUUUCAAAAUACGGCGUUUAAUAUCUAAUUACAGGACUGUUGUGAUAAAUGGCAUCUAUUAUUAGAACACAGUGAGGAGUUUAGGAAUAAGUUUAAGGCUACAGAUGGAUCCACAGAUGGAGUGGAAGUCCACUGAGUUAGCAAAAUGUGUGUAAAGACCACUGUCUCAUCAGUAAACAGAAAAUGACUUUCACAAGUGCCAACAUCCAGAAUUACAAGGGAAAGAGCCCAGGACGACAGUCUCCCUUUAAUGGUGGAGAGCUCUGAAGUUUCAUCAUUAAUGGAUAUGGGAAAUAGAAUCUUGGUGUUGAGAAGAUGCGUGGAAGCCAUCUUUGGUCUAGAAUAGACCUCUCAGAGAAGGGAUUCCUACAGCUCCUGGUAUUGCUGCUCAUGUGGUCCAAGCAAAGCAAUGUGUAGCCAGUCAUCUCCAUCUCACUGGUACAUGUAUUCCUCCAAGUUGCCUGUCUCUCGAUGUUCUUCUUCUCCCUGUGGCACUCAUGUUCCUAUGGUCCUCCAAGAUGCUCAAUAUACCAUCCCUUCCCCCUCUCUGCACUUGUCCCUUAAUCUCCAUCAAAUCUCCAUGUGCUCAUCUCACAUUCCCAUCCCUCAUGCCUCUAUAUUCUUCAUCCUGCCAUGUCUCAACCCUAUAUGGUGCUUACUCCUCUGCACUAUUCAUUUGCCCAUGUUGGUCAUCCACCUGCCACUCCUCCAUGUUCCUCACUCCUCCUUAUAGUCAACCCAGUAAAUGGUCUCUAUGGCCAUAGCUUCCUUCCCUACUUUCACAUGCCCACUGACAGCUGAUGAAUAGCAAUUAUGUAACCAGACGUUAAACCAGACAGCAAUGCUGCCCCAUGUUCCCAGAGAGGGAUGGCAAACGUACAGAACUGACUGUAGUCAGUGCUACUUUAGUUAGGCAAAAGAACACACUGUUACACGUGUCUGCUCCAGUGCUCUGAAAAGCCAGAUGGGUGUCUCCAAAUACCUAAGAACAGAAAGAAAUAAUGUGACCUGCUUUUCUUGUUGCUGUGACAAAGUACCAGAAGCAGCAACUUAAGGAGCAACUUGAGGGUAAAUACUGCCCGUCAUGCUUGGGGAGACAUGGUAGGACACGGUAGGUAGCUAGUGACAUGGUGUGCUCAGUCAGGAAGUAAAGAAGAGUGAAAGAUGAGGCUCUGCUCACUUUUUCCUUUCAUUCAGAUGGUGACAUCAGCCCUUGGGAUGGUGCCAUCCACAUUUGAGGUGAAUCUUCCCUUAUUAGUUACAGUUAAAUUUUUUUUAAUUAGGUAUUUUCCUCAUUUACAUUUUCAAUGCUAUCCCAAAGGUCCCCCAUACCCACCCCCCCCAAUCCCCUACCCACCCACUCCCCCUUUUUGGCCCUGGCAUUCCCCUGUACUGGGGCAUAUAAAGUUUGCAAGUCCAAUGGGCCUCUCUUUGUAGUGACGGCCGACUAGGCCAUCUUUUGAUACAUAUGCAGCUGAAGACAAGAGCUCCCGGGUACUGGUUAGUUCAUAUUGUUGUUCCACCUAUAGGGUUGCAGUUCCCUUUAGCUCCUUGGGUAAUUUCUCUAGCUCCUCCAUUGGGGGCCGUGUGACCCAUCCAAUAGCUGACUGUGAUCAUCCACUUCUGUGUUUGCUAGGCCCCAGCAUAGUCUCACAAGAGAGAACUAUAUCUGGGUCCUUUCAGCAAAAUCUUGCUAGUGUAUGCAAUGGUAUCAGCAUUUGGAAGCUGAUUAUGGGAUGGAUCCCUGCAUAUGGCAAUCACUAGAUGGUCCAUCCUUUCGUCACAGCUCCAAUACGGUUUCAUGUACUUGAUCUCUCCCUCUCCCUCUCCCUCUCCCUCUCCCUCUCCCUCUCCCUCUCCCUCUCCCUCUCUCUCGUUUGCCUGGUACCUGUGGAAGUCAGAACAUAGCAUGAAAUCUUCUGGAAUUGGAGUCACAGGUGAUUGUGAACCUCCAUGUGAAUGCUGGAAACAGAGCCUGGGUCCUCAACAUGUGCUCUCAACCACUGGAACAUUUCUCUAGCCCCAGUUAAGGCUUUUUGGAAAUACUCUCAGACACACCUAGAAAUGUUUUUCCAUGAUUCCAAAUCUAGACACAUUGAUAAUUAAGAUUAAUGCUUGCAUGGGAUGGAGAGAUGGCUCAGUGGUUAAGAGCACUGGUUGCUCUUCCUGAGGACCUGGGUUUCAUCCUCAGCACUCAUGGUGGCUACAACUCUUUGUAACUCCAGUUCCAGGGGAUCUGAUGCCCUCUUCUGGCCUCUGAGGGCACCAGACAUGCGUAUGAUGCACAGAUAUACUUGUAGGCAAAACACCCAUGCACAUACAAUUAAAAAAAAUCAAAAAAAAUAAAAGAAUUACAACUCAACUUCUUAUCCACUUGACACUCAAAUAUACUACUUCGGGUCAUACCAUUCCAUUAUUGUCCUCUAAAGCCUCGUGUUCAUCUCUGCAAAACUCAGUUAGUCCAUUUCCAAAAGUCCCCAUCACUUUCUAACAGUCUCAAUGACACUUAGAAGCUUAAAGCAUGAACUUUCUCCUGAGAACCCAGUUUCAACUAGAAGUCCCUGUAAGAUAAAAGCCACAGACCUCCAACACAUCACAACAGAGAACAAACAUUCCUGCUCCAAAAGAGAGGAUGAUAGCAAAAAAAAAAAAAAAAAAAAAA